CCUACGGGGCGCACCAGUGGGGAAUAUUGCACAAUGGGCGCAAGCCUGAUGCAGCCAUGCCGCGUGUAUGAAGAAGGCCUUCGGGUUGUAAAGUACUUUCAGCGGGGAGGAAGGCGUUGAUGCUAAUAUCAUCAACGAUUGACGUUACCGACAGAAGAAGCACCGGCUAACUCCGUGCCAGCAGCCGCGGUAAUACGGAGGGUGCAAGCGUUAAUCGGAAUUACUGGGCGUAAAGCGCACGCAGGCGGUUGAUUAAGUUAGAUGUGAAAUCCCCGGGCUUAACCUGGGAAUGGCAUCUAAGACUGGUCAGCUAGAGUCUUGUAGAGGGGGGUAGAAUUCCAUGUGUAGCGGUGAAAUGCGUAGAGAUGUGGAGGAAUACCGGUGGCGAAGGCGGCCCCCUGGACAAAGACUGACGCUCAGGUGCGAAAGCGUGGGGAGCAAACAGGAUUAGAUACCCGGGUAGUC
rnacentral:rRNA from 1 species